AGCAAUAACCCUAGAAGCUCUAUGACGCUUAAUUUUAGCACUUUCCGGCAGUUACUUUCGUGGAUAGAGGGUCAGGGCUUCAGUAUGGCUUGACUAGCUUUGAUGCCAUUCGGACUCAAGCUUACCAGAAGGUCAAGUGUGCCGCAAAAUAGCUCGGAUGUGGAUCAAUGGUUAAAUCACGAUCGAAACUAUUUUCUCAAAACCACAUCUGUAUCCAAAUUUAGAACAUGCAAAGUGGAAGCACAAAGUGGAAGCACAAGAAAUUGCUUGUUUUGAUCGAGACACUUCUCGUUAAGCUUGUUGCUUCCUGCAGCUCCAUUGGCACCUCUCGACCUAGCUUGGACUCCUGAGUCUGUAUAUAGCACGGUGGCCUGGUUUGAAGAAACAAUGCCUGAUUGGUUAGGUAUGUCGAUGAAGUAUAGGAAAUAGGAAACACUAAUGGAAAAUAGCCAAAAACGUGGACAUUGUGUCAAUAGAAGGGAUGCAGCUGAAACUCUUUAAGAGGAUUGCGUUGCAGCUGCAGUUUUGUAGUUACCCCCGUAAUUUUUUUCUUCAUUAUCAUAGGCUUAGCAUUUUUUUUACGAUGUAAUCUAUUCUCAUCUCUUUGUAAUGUUCGAUUAAGCUUUGUAUUCU